rnacentral:rRNA from 1 species
UACGAAGGGGGCGAGCGUUGUUCGGAAUUACUGGGCGUAAAGGGCGCGUAGGCGGUCCUUCAAGUCAGGCGUGAAAGCCCCGGGCUCAACCUGGGAAUUGCAUUCGAGACUGAAUAGCUAGGGUACGGUAGAGGGAAGUGGAAUUUCCGGUGUAGCGGUGAAAUGCGUAGAUAUCGGAAGGAACAUCAGUGGCGAAAGCGACUUCCUGGACCAGUACCGACGUUCAGGCACGAAAGCGUGGGGAGCAAACAGG